CAAAAGUCCUAAAAGCCUUACUUUAUAUAUUAAUCAAGUUGAAAGAUACCUUUUAUUUUUCACAAUAUAUAUAUUCUUACAUACUUUAAUUCUGAACAUACAAAAGAUACAGCCUUUUUUAUUUAGCUUUUAUCGAUUCAUAAAUUGACUCAUCAUUUACGACAACAACAACGCACUGACUUAGGAUAAAUUAUAUAGCAGGCACCACCAUAUCUAUAGCCUUUUCCAUAACACUCUUGAUAGCAUUGUAAAUCUGACGUGCAAUCACCCUCUUGACAUUUUAAAUACAAAGGACUAUACUCACCACUUGAU
rnacentral:lncRNA from 1 species